rnacentral:rRNA from 1 species
UACAGAGGUCCCAAGCGUUGUUCGGAUUCACUGGGCGUAAAGGGUGCGUAGGUGGCCAGGUAAGUUUGGUGUGAAAGCUCGGAGCUUAACUCCGAAAAGUCAUUGAAUACUAUCUGGCUGGAGGGUCGGAGGGGAGACUGGAAUUCUCGGUGUAGCAGUGAAAUGCGUAGAGAUCGUAAGGAAGACCAGUGGCGAAGGCGGGUCUCUGGACAGUUCCUGACACUGAGGCACGAAGGCCAGGGGAGCAAACGGG